rnacentral:rRNA from 1 species
UAACACGUAUCCAACCUGCCGUCUACUCUUGGACAGCCUUCUGAAAGGAAGAUUAAUACAAGAUGGCAUCAUGAGUCCGCAUGUUCACAUGAUUAAAGGUAUUCCGGUAGACGAUGGGGAUGCGUUCCAUUAGAUAGUAGGCGGGGUAACGGCCCACCUAGUCUUCGAUGGAUAGGGGUUCUGAGAGGAAGGUCCCCCACAUUGGAACUGAGACACGGUCCAAACUCCUACGGGAGGCAGCAGUGAGGAAUAUUGGUCAAUGGGCGAGAGCCUGAACCAGCCAAGUAGCGUGAAGGAUGACUGCCCUAUGGGUUGUAAACUUCUUUUAUAAAGGAAUAAAGUCGGGUAUGGAUACCCGUUUGCAUGUACUUUAUGAAUAAGGAUCGGCUAACUCCGUGCCAGCAGCCGCGGUAAUACGGAGGAUCCGAGCGUUAUCCGGAUUUAUUGGGUUUAAAGGGAGCGUAGAUGGAUGUUUAAGUCAGUUGUGAAAGUUUGCGGCUCAACCGUAAAAUUGCAGUUGAUACUGGAUAUCUUGAGUGCAGUUGAGGCAGGCGGAAUUCGUGGUGUAGCGGUGAAAUGCUUAGAUAUCACGAAGAACUCCGAUUGCGAAGGCAGCCUGCUAAGCUGCAACUGACAUUGAGGCUCGAAAGUGUGGGUAUCAAACAGGAUUAGAUACCCUGGUAGUCCACACGGUAAACGAUGA